GACGAACCGUGCGAACGUUAUUCGGAAUCACUGGGCUUAAAGCGCGUGUAGGCGGGCCGCCACGUCGGCUGCUGAAAUCCCCCGGCUCAACCGGGGAACGGGCACCGAUACGAGCGGCCUGGAGGGGGGUAGGGGGGCCUGGAACUUCCGGUGGAGCGGUGAAAUGCGUUGAGAUCGGAAGGAACGCCCGUGGCGAAAGCGAGGCCCUGGACCCUUACUGACGCUGAGACGCGAAAGCCAGGGGAGCGAACGGGG
rnacentral:rRNA from 1 species